AAAUUCAAACCCUAUUUUUGGUUCGGAAUUAAAAUUCGAAAUUUGCGAAAUUUUAUUAUCUGAAUAAAGAAAUAAUUUUCUGGGGUUUUGGGUACUCUGUGCUUAUAAACACAUGGAUACGAAGCUCUGUUUUGAAGCAAUCAAUCGGACACUACGCCGCGUUGCAGCAGCUUUGGUGGAAUUGGCGUGGUCAGACGUCUAGGCACAGCCGGAUUUUAUGAAAUCCCAAGAGGUGUCUUUUUCCAAGAAGAGGUACAUAACUCCGCCGCCGGAUUCUUUUGAUUUGUGCUUGUGCGGAAACUGUGAAGAUAUUGGUAUGUCAAUUCCUGUUGCUCACUUGCUAAUGCCACCGGUGCUCCUCCAAUCUGGGUGAAAGGGAACAUGUAUGAGAUUGGAUCGUCUGGAAUUAGCAGUCUACAGGGGCACAUCAAGAGGAGGAAUAUAUAAGAGCCUCAAUGAUUUCAUCUCCCUUCGGAAGAGUGUACCUUGUACCAACUAAAUGCUAAAGCUGUAGAUGCUAGAUUUGAAUGGUUCUGGUAGAUAUUUCUAGCAUCUGUAUAUAUACUGUUUGGAGAAGGACGCUAUAGCGAUUCAGGGUCGGCCCUGGCCCAGUGCAAACGGUGCACCUGUUCAGGACUGAAAUUGUUUUGGGGCACUUCUUCCUCCACGAAUCGCGACAAUGGUGACCAGAGCCUUUCUUCCAGACUUGUGCCCUUCCGUCCCAGCUUUCCUUAUCAGCCUCAGAAAUCACCCAAAACCGGACUGAAUUUUACAGAAUCGGUCGCCGUUUCACCACUGCAGUCCCUCUGUGCUCAGCUCAUCGAGCUUUCUGGGUACUCUUGCUCGGAGCAACACAAUUCUGACGAAAGAUGGGUACUUACUGGAUUUGAGAUGUGAAGGACUAAUAGAUGUCAUGUUUGUUACUGCAAUUUCUGUUUGGUUUGAGAUGUGAAGUACUAAUGAGAUUGCUUUGGUGGGGAGUGUUCGCCCUAACUGAUCCGUGAUGCAUGAUUCUUAAAUUCUCCAGCAGAUGAAGGUUUCGAUGUAUGGGUAGAAAAUGUGCGUCAAACACGUUGGAGUCAGGGACACAUCUUUAUCAGAAAAGAACAAGAUUUAUGCUUUACUGUAGGAUUUUUGGGAUUGGAGUUGGCAGGAAUUGGCUCGAUUUGAUCUAUCAGAAAUGAUGCGCUGCAUGUAUUCAACAAGCUCCAACGUCUUUGUUGUUGGACAUUCACAGGGAACAAUCAUGUCUUUAGCUGCUCUCACCCAGCCGGAUAUAGCUGAAGAAGUGGUUGAAGCCGCCGCUCUUUUCUGCCCAAUAUCAUACUUGGAGCAUCACUUCAAAAUUUGUUAUCUUCUGUACAUUAUAUGCAGCGAAUGGGUCGUCAACCUUUUGGAUUCAAUAUGUGAUGGUUAUGUUGACUGCUUGGAGUGGUCGUAUAUGAUUUUGCUUUUGAUUGUCAGGGUUUCAGUACUAUGUCCUCCUUGUUGUAUGUUUUUUUUUCAAGUAAUAUAAUAUGGGCGUGAGGGCCUAGCCCCCCAGCUUCGACUGGUUCCAGCCCUCUAUAAAUAUUUCUUUUUAAUUUA